rnacentral:rRNA from 1 species
ACGCUCGACACCUACGGGAAGCAGCAGUCGGGAAUAUUGCGCAAUGGAGGAAACUCUGACGCAGUGACGCCGCGUGCAGGAAGAAGGUUUUCGGAUUGUAAACUGCUUUAGACAGGGAAGAAAGAAGUGACAGUACCUGUAGAAUAAGCUCCGGCUAACUACGUGCCAGCAGCCGCGGUAAUCUGAGCGGGCUGGCAAGGC